AAGGCUUAUCUUCUUCCUCUGAGCGGUUGCCAAUCGGGAGAAAUCCCAAGGGCUGCUCCGGUCGUCUUCAUGGCCUCGUCAGGCCGCCGCCUUAGCCGUGCGACCAUGCCACGCGGCCGACCGGAUGGAGGGAGCGUCGCGCCUCGCGUUGGAGGACGCGGACGCGUCGCCCGGAGGAGCUUGUGCACCGUGGUGGCGCUCCGUCGGUGAGAGGAGCGGCGUAUCACGCGCCUGAGGGGCCGGAGGGCCAUCGCCGGCCUGCGCGGUUGCGAGCCGAGGGCCGCGACAUCGCCUCGGUCUUCCACGCCGCGUCGCGGUUGGAGGCCAUCCUCAGGAGCGCCGAGGCUGCCGUCUGCGACUUGCGCAGUGGGAGGGCGUGUAGCCAACGCCAGGGCCGAUGGCCACGGCACGCCCAGAGGAGCACCGUCGGGCCGAGGGCUGCUGCAUGCUCCUCGCUAGGAGCCCCGUACCUCACUUGGAAGGCGUGGCGCCAUGGGCAUGCACGCUGGGCAUUGCCGCGGUCGCGCGUUAAGCGGCCGCUGGCUACCUUGCGCGAAGGCCGAGCCGCCUCGUUUCCGUCGCGGGAGGCGAAACCGGUGGUUCUGGUGUCCCAGUCCAGCGUGGGGCCGAGGAAUCGAAGUGACAGUUUGAGACCGAGAGAUUUGUCGUCGUGGCCGUGCACGGCGCGAGGCUGCCGAUUGGAAGCGCUUUCGCCGGGCUGAGGACCGCCGUGCCACCACGCCGAACCAAUGGCUGUAGCCGUCAAACUCGCAGGCGAGCGAUGCUGCAGCCAGGAGCCGUCGCGCUGACGGAAUCGCUCCGCCAGGAGCCGUCGGGAGCAUGCUGAUAACGUAUUGUCGAGAAAGCCUUGGCACAGAUGUAAAAGUGAAUAGGUGUUCUUUCAUUAGAUGAUUGUAGGUACCUGAAAUCUUAAAAGUGCACGCCCACUUUUUCGUAGGAACGGGCGGCCGGGCUGGUUACUUACAUGUGUGUCUUUUUUUGUCAGCUAGUAAAUGUUUUUUGUUAGCAUUAAAUGCGUACGGACUAGUCCUGGAAACAGAUUCACGCA